GCGGAGCCUAAAGCAUGUCUCCCAAAAGUGGGAACCGGUUUUGGGAUAAAGACAUGCACGAAAGCUUAAAGCGUGUUUUGUGAAUAUGAUAAAUGCGACACGCUUUAGCUCGCUGAAUCAGGAAUUCCCCACGGGCAACUGGUUCAGCAAGG
rfam:Ochrobactrum intermedium 229E Contig44, whole genome shotgun sequence.